CACCUGCAUUAUUUGACGUUACCUACAGAAGAAGCACCGGCUAACUCCGUGCCAGCAGCCGCGGUAAUACGGAGGGUGCGAGCGUUAAUCGGAAUUACUGGGCGUAAAGCGCAUGCAGGCGGCCUGUUAAGUCAGAUGUGAAAGCCCGGGGCUUAACCUCGGAAUUGCAUUUGAAACUGGCAGGCUAGAGUCUUGUAGAGGGGGGUAGGAAUUUCAGGUGUAGCGGUGAAAUGCGUAGAGAUCUGAAGGAAUACCAGUGGCGAAGGCCGGCCCCCGUCGGACAAAGACUGACGCUCAGAUGCGAAAGCGUGGGGAGCAAACAGGAUUAGAUACCCCUGGUAG
rnacentral:rRNA from 1 species